rnacentral:rRNA from 1 species
AGUGAACGCUGGCGGUAGGCCUAACACAUGCAAGUCGAACGGCAGCACAGUAAGAGCUUGCUCUUACGGGUGGCGAGUGGCGGACGGGUGAGGAAUACAUCGGAAUCUACUUUUUCGUGGGGGAUAACGUAGGGAAACUUACGCUAAUACCGCAUACGACCUACGGGUGAAAGCAGGGGAUCUUCGGACCUUGCGCGAUUGAAUGAGCCGAUGUCGGAUUAGCUAGUUGGCGGGGUAAGGGCCCACCAAGGCGACGAUCCGUAGCUGGUCUGAGAGGAUGAUCAGCCACACUGGAACUGAGACACGGUCCAGACUCCUACGGGAGGCAGCAGUGGGGAAUAUUGGACAAUGGGCGCAAGCCUGAUCCAGCCAUACCGCGUGGGUGAAGAAGGCCUUCGGGUUGUAAAGCCCUUUUGUUGGGAAAGAAAAGCAGCAGGUUAAUACCCCGCCGUUCUGACGGUACCCAAAGAAUAAGCACCGGCUAACUUUGUG